AGCUUCAGUAGCGUAUAUUAAAGUUGUUGCAGUUAAAAAGCUCGUAGUCGCAUUUCUGGCGAGAGGAUCCGGUCCGACCUUUUGGUGGGUUCUUGGGUCUCUUUCGCCAUCCUUGAGUGGUCCGUUCUGGCAUUAGGUUGUCGGAGCGUCAGCCGCUCAUCGUUUACUGUGAGAAAAUUAGAGUGUUCAAAGCAGGCUUAUGCCGUUGAAUAUAUUAGCAUGGAAUAAUAAGAUAGGACCUCGGUACUAUUUUGUUGUUUUGCGCACCAAGGUAAUGAUGAAUAGGGACAGUUGGGGGUAUUUGUAUUUCGUUGUCAGAGGUGAAAUUCUUAGAUUUACGAAAGACAAACUACUGCGAAAGCAUUUACCAAGGAUGUUUUCA
rnacentral:rRNA from 1 species